AGUGACGGUCCAAGAGUUGAUCAAGGAUGAGAACAACAAAGCGGCACUUGGUGUCUGCCAAGAGGUGUUGGACUUAGCCAUUGAUGACUUUCAAAAGUCAUUCGACAUGCUAGGGGAAUACGACAUGAGCAAGAUUGGAAAAUACCUUUUGGAACUGAAGACCUGGCUAAGCGGUGCAUUCACGAGUCAACAGACAUGUAUAGACUCAUUCGCGGAAUCAAGUAACGAAUCAUCGCAGAAGAUGCAAUCAAUCUUGAAGACUAGCAUGGAGAUUACUAGCAAUGCUUUAGCCAUGCUUAAUGGGUUAUCCACCAUCGUGAAGGAACUUAACAUUCCAAACGUCGGCAACAUCGACACCACGGGGGUCAACCGUAAGCUUUUGUCGGCUGAGGAUAUGCCUGAGUGGAUUAGUCAAGCUGACCGAAAACUCCUUCAAGCAAAACCAAUGGAUUUGAAACCUAACGUUGUGGUUGCUAAAGAUGGUAGCGGGAAAUAUGAUACUAUUAACAAGGCAUUGGCUGAAGUCCCUGUGAAAAGUCCCGAUCGAUUUGUUAUUCACAUUAAGGCUGGUACUUACAAGGAGCAAAUCAACUUGACCAAGAAGAUGACUAAUGUUGUAUUCAUUGGUGAUGGCCCAACCAAGACCAUUAUCACAAAUGACAUUAGCGUCGCUAAGAAUCCACCGGUUAGAACAUACCGCACUGCAACUGUUGGUAAGUAGUAUUAUAUACAUAUAUAAGUUUUGGUGGUGAAGUGUGGUGGCUAACUAGUAUAUAUGUAUGCAUGUUUGUGAAAUAUUUUAGCUGCGGAUGGGGCUGGUUUCAUGGCCAAGGACAUUGGAUUCGAUAACUCAGCAGGACCCGAAGGUCAUCAAGCAGUUGCCUUUAGGGCUACUGCUGAUAGGGUCAUCAUGUUCAACUGCCAUUUCACUGGGGUACCAAGACACUCUUUACGCUCACAGAGAGAGACAAUUAUAUAGCAACUGUCUCAUCACCGGAACGGUGGAUUUCAUCUUCGGGGAUGCGGCGAGCAUUUUCCAGAACUGUAUGCUCGUCGUGAGGAAGCCAGGGCCAGGCCAAAACUGCAUGGUUACUGCACAAGGAAGGAAUGAUCUUGGAACAAACUCAGCCAUUGUGCUUCAAAACUGCACCAUCUCGGGGGCCCCUGAUUACAUCCCAGUGAAGGAUAAGAACAAGGCGUACUUGGGGCGUCCUUGGAAACAAUUCGCUAGGUCCAUCAUAAUGCAAUCUAGGAUCGACGACAUCAUUCAACCAGAGGGUUAUGCCCCCAUGACAGGCACCAUAGGAAUAGACACUUCUUUCAUUGCCGAGUUUGGAAACAGGGGACCCGGUGCCGAUACCAGCCGUAGGGUAGCAUGGAAAGGUAUCAAAAAGAUAGAUAUAAAUGAAGCCAACAAAUGGACUCCUCGCAUCUUUCUCGAAUCCGAGACUUGGAUUCCGAGUUCCAGCGUUCCCUAUAGUCCCGACAUGGUCCCUGGAGUCUAAGCAGCUUAUUAUCAAUACCAACGCCAUUAGUUUGCUUAUUAUCAUAUCAUUGUUGUAAUUAUGUCGUUUUUUACUAAUUAAUUAAACUGUUUUUUUUAUCUUUUAUCUAUCUAUGUAUAUAUAUUGAAUUCUUUGGUUUCCUAAUUGUUGUUUCCAUUCACUUAUUAAUGAUGUUUGCAAAACCCAAAAAUUAAGUCAACGUUUAAAUAUUAUUGAACUUAAUUUAAUAUAAUUUUUUUAAAGAUUAUUUGGAUUGAUAAUGUUGUUUCCCUAAUGUAGAUACAUUCUUUAAAUAGAUUUAAUAAAAUUAUUAUUAUCAAACUUAAUUGCAAGAUUUAAUAAAAAAAUAGUUUAUUUAUAAUAAUUACUAAUAUAAUAUUAAAAAUUAAUAAAAACAAUUAUAUUAUAAAAAAUCAAUCUUAUUUUUUAUUUUUUUAUAUGGACUUAAGCAAGCAUCCCACUCGUGGAAUCAAAGAUUUGAUCAAGCGGUAAAGAUUUUUGAAUUUGAGCAGAACAGAGAAGAACAUUGUGUUUAUAAACAUUUAGGGGAUGAAAAGGUGGUAUUUCUCUUUCUACAUGUCGGGUGAAAUUCUACUAGUUGAGAAUGAUGUAGGGAUAUUGUCAUCGUUUAAACUAUGGUUAACCUAACAAUUUAAGAUGAAGGACCUGUGAGAAGCUAAUUUUGUUCUGGGUAUUCGAAAGAACAAAGUGAUAGCACUAUCGCAAGAUUCAUACAUAGACAAGAUAUUGUAGCGCUAUGUUAUAAGUGAUUUGAAGAAGGGUAAUCAAUCUUCUAAUAUCGAGAAUUCACCUUUCUUUGGAGGAUUGUCUUAAGACACUGGAAGAAAAUGAGAACAUCAGAAAGAUUCAUUAUGCUUCAACAAUAGGAAGUCUCAUGUAUGCUAUGUUGUGCAUGCAACCAAAUAUCUAUUUUGCAGUAGGUUUGGUGAGUCGAUAUCAGGUGAAUCCAAGACUAAGACGCUGACAAACAAUUAGUACAAUUAAUAAUGAUCAAUGAAUAGAAAAUGUUAGGUUUUUUUGUCGGACUCGUCCGUCAGCUUAGUUAAGAUGCAUUGAUGGGCUCCUUGUAGUUCAUUUCUAUCUGUAUUAGUCCAACACCCAUCAUGUCAUUCUAUCUAUCUUGGAUUGUUUCUUUCUCUGAAUUUACCUUUUCAGCUUGCUUUAAUGACCGACAACUUUUCUGUAGGUCACAACGAUUGAUGAUUUGCAACGCCACAUGAUUACACAACCACCGUAGCCUGCACUUAGCAUUUUUGCCUCGUAAUAAGGGUGCAAAGUAUGGUUUAAACUUGUCACUUAUCAUGUCUCUGCUUGUGUCAUUGCUCCAAAGUGGCUUUUCAGAUAUACUUAAGGUAAUGGUUGGCACGGGUGUUGCUGAAUGAAUUAGCUAGUGAAUUUGUACUAAACUUCCUAAAUCUCAGAUCUACAAAUUUUUAAGUUAUUCUAUUUUUGGUUUACUAUAUUGCUUCAUUCGUUGACGACAUGUCUCUUGCAAUGUCAGUGCACUCCGUGAUGCUUAUCGCUCAUCUAUACUUAUUUACUGCCCAACUUGAUUGAGUCUGGCUAUAUGAGCAUAGGUUCUAUCUAUAUAUAUUUUUCCAAUUUUGUUCAACAUCCGAAAAAUUCCUAGGCCUUCAAAUCUCCAAGGUUCAUGGUUAAGGUCUAAAGGUAUGCAAUGGCUAAUCAAUUUAAGUUUAUCAACUAUGUCUAUUAAUUUUUUUCUAUUUUGCCUUGAAAAUUCAUGUAUCAACAGACACUCUUCUACUAGCUCGACCUUAAUUACCAAUGUUUCUAUUGGUUGAUCUGCAUUAUGCUACUAUUAUAUUUCAGCUUUGUUGGUAGAAUCAAAGGGUUUUAGGACAAUGAGUUUCAUGAUGGUCUAAUUCUUUGGCUUGCUAGCCAUUUUCCCCACUAGCUCUAUAUCUUCCCCUUCUGCAGUGGUGUUUAACUCGUCUGGAUACUAUUUUGUCUGCUGAGAUGACUAAUAGUCUAGGAUUUCUACUUCUUCACAAGCGUCUAUAAUUUCAUUCUCUUCUUUGCUCAACUCCGGACUUAGCACAUCAUGGUACCUUUUUGAUGGUAUAUCAUUGUGGUUGUUAUUAUCUUUGGAAAGAUCUUCAUACAACCCUUCUUCAUAAGUAUUUUGAUCAUAAUCAAAGUCCUCGUCAGACCACAUAUAAUAGAAAUCAUUCGUGACUUUGUGCUGACUGAUUAUUUUGUGCCUAGGAUUCCUAAGAAUAAACAAAUGUUAAAAAUUUUAAUUAACAAAAUAAUUUGAAAGUUGUAACUAUAAACCACAAAUUUCCUAAUUAUUCUUUUAAAAUGAAAAAAAUCAAAAUCAAUCUAGUGACGUUACCUCCCCGACAAUGGCGCCAACAACUUGACCACCUUCGGACGUACUAACGCCCAACGUGUGAAUACUGCAAUAAAAUGGAUAAUUACGAGAUGGUAUCCAUAAGUGUAUAGGUCGAGUUGUAAUAUAGUUUUUACAAAGAAGUAGGUGAGUACUCCGAGGAUCGUACCUAGGGGAAGCAAGUGUUAGAUUAAUUCUAACCUAAACAUUAAAAGAUCUAAUUAGUACUUUAAAUAAAUUAUACUACGAAAGUAUAUAAAAAGGGUUUUUAAAGGUUUUUAAUAAUAAUAAAAUCAAAUAACAUAAAAGAAAUAAAACUAAAUAGAUAGAAGAGUAGAGUAAAUUAAAUCUUGAUUAUGGGUGAUUAGCUCGCUUUAGUAAUCCUCAUCAACUGUCACUUCGGGUUCCUUGUCAAUCAACUAGUCACUACCCUAGCAGGAUCUUCUGAUCUUCCACUAACAUAACAAGUCAGCAAGAACUACUUAUCUUCUGACCUCACAGUUCAAACUGGUUUGGGGUAAAGGUGUUCACGAAUGGGAAGUGCCAAUUUUGGAUUAAUUCCCACUUAGAUGACUUUUCGGGGUUGCCAAACCUAGGUUUUUUUUUUAUGUUCUUCCUUUUCCAAAUAGUUGAUCCCUUGAGUAAUCCUACAAAAUAGUUAAUAGAUCGUACAUCCACUCGCUAAUCCCCCAUACAAGGACUAGUUCCUCAUAGCUUUCAUAGACAAUAUAAAAUAAAUAUAAAGAGAAAACAUGCUAAUUAAAACGACAAGAUAAAGUAAAUGAAAAAGUCUGGUUGUAUUGAUGUUAAUUGUGAAUCCCCAAUGUUUGAAUGCUUCCACAAUUCAUAUUUCUUGAAAUCAACAAGAACAACUAAAAGAAAUCUAAAACCUAAUAACGAAAGAAAUUUAAACUGAAUUUUACAAAGAGAACUUAGGCUAAAGGAUUGAUGUCCAUAACAAGUGACAAAUGAGUCUAUUUAUAGCCUUCAGGUGGCCAUCGUCCUUAACCCUAGGUUAGCCGACGUUUCUAAACUUGAAAGUUUGAUUGUGCAGACCAAAAUGCUCUUACUUUGUGUUUUGAUUUCAUCACAGAGUCAAUGUUGUGACACACCAGGAACUGUGUUGCGACAUAGCAACCAGUAUACUCCUCUGCAACUAUCUUUAGUCUGUGCCUCGACACCCUCAGUCUGUGUCACGGAAUUGAUGGUAGUCUUGAACUUUCUUCAUUCUGCUCAUUAUGUUGCGACAUCAAGCAUCGCAUGUUGCAACAUAGUGACCAGUAUCAGUUUAGUAUGCCUUCUAAAAGUCUCCUACACACUCACCAAGUGCGUUAGCUCUCCUUUAGGCCUUAUUCAACCCAUAAGGCUAAUAAAAGACUCAAUUUGCACAUUUUAUUAAAUGUAAAUAAAACUAAGAAAACUUAACUAAAACAUAACGAAAGUGCUUGUAUUCAAACUCUUCAAAUACGAAAACUAGUUUGAUAUGCUACACCGAAUUAUGGUAGAUCAGUUAUGUAUGCAAAAUAUAAAAGACAUAAUAGUGAGAUGUGAAAUUAACUUUAUUUAUUUAUUCAUCAUUCAAAUAAAUAGAAAAUAAUUACAUGUUCACCACAAUAUGGGCACAUUUCCCAACACUCUACUCGUCGGGAACGGCAAGACAUUCGCGUUGUCAGGAAGAGCUUUCGUUUCUCAUUCGGACAAGACUAUCUGUUUAGGCCGAAUAGAGGCAUUCUCCCACAUAUUUGAUGAAACAAUUUAAAUUUAAAUUUAUUUUGUUAUGGUUUUUGGGACUAUAAUAUUUUUUAAUUUUGGGUUAUGGCAUGUGUUCUUUUUAAGUUCGGAUUUUUGCAUGCAUUCAAUUUCAUUAAAUUGAACAAACCAAAUUAAUCUUCUUAACAUCAUAUAAAAUAUGGUUUAGAGUAAAAAAUGAUGGUUUCACCUAAACAAAAAUCAACUAAGUUUACCCAAAAAUGUCACAACACAUAUUAAAUUUGGACUUUUAAGUUUAACUCAAUGUAAAAUCUUAUGUUUUUGAUAAAUAUAUGACUACUACCUAAUUUUUCUAAAAAUCGGAAAAAUAAAAGUUACGAUAACUAAACAGUUCUACUAGACCAUUUUGGUGGCCAAUGUAGCUUUCAAGAUCAAUUAUAAUGCCUGGUUUGGGUCUAGGGAAGUUACAGUUACGGCUGAAAAUUUCAAGCAAUUGGAAAAAGAUGGAGUUGAACAGGUGCUCACGAGAGAAGAUGGCUAGAGACAAUUAAUGCUAACGGCGGGGAAUUGGAAAAAAUUACUAUUGACAAGCAAGUUUUGUCGGAUGUGAGUGAAUAUGUUGAAUUAUGGGGUGGUGAUGGUAGAAAGUCAAAUAUUGAAGGUGACAUGAAAGGGGUGACGUUGCUUAGUACUGAUAACAUAGGUGUAAACGAGACAAUUGAAGUGGGAGUAAAUAACUGGGGCAAGGAAAGUAAGUGUUGGCAAGUCCAAUUUCAAGAUGGAUCGGACACUAGCGUUGGGCUAUUUAGAUGGGAAUAAGGUUACGUUGAAAUAGCUGAGGUGAUGGGUGGAGAUAAUAUAACUGCAGGCAAGGAAUUGGUUGAAAUUACGAAGAGGAAAUUGAAUAGGAGUAUAUAGCCAAAGGAGACAGUAAAGUUUUUUUAGUUACGAGUUUAAGCCUCCACCAAAAAUUCAAUUACAUUAUUUAACGUUGAUCUGAUAACAAAAUGUCCUGCACCAAUUGCGCAAUCUCUAGCCCCUUUAGACAUCACCACAUCUACCGCCUUGUUCGUCAUCCUUGAAGGAGGCAACAAACUUAUUUAAUAAUAUGAUUUGAAUUAAAUAUAUGUUUAAUAUUACUGUACCGCAUUAUUUUACAUCAUAAUAUUAUGAUUAUAAUAAUUAUUAUUUCAAUUUCUACUCAUGCACAGGUUUGCUUUAACAAUAAAGAAUCCAUAUUAAUAGUCAAAAUUUAAACAUAUUAAAUAAAAAUAAAUAAUAAUGCAUUUUUUAAUAUUAUUUUUUAAAAUUAUUUUUAAAUCAUUUUAAAUAAUAACAAUUUAAUUAAAUAUAAAUUUGAGAAUAAAUAUAUACAUUAUUUUAUUAUAUUAUUUAUGAUAUGAUAUGAUAUGAUUUCUUACAAAUGUUUCGAACAACAUUAGUUACCAUUUAAUCCACAAAGCUUUAAUUUAUAAGUGUCAAAGAAAAAUCCUAAAACACCAAAGUUAAUUUUUCGUGGAAUGUGAAAAGAUUUUAAAAAACUAAUAUUUAAUUUACAAUUUAGCAUUUAAAUUAAAUUUAUAUAUUAAUUAUUUCGAUACUUACAAUAUCAAUUUAUUUCAAAAAUAUUUUACUCAAACAUAUAUAAAAUAAGAAAUAGAAGAUUAAAACACCAUAGUUUUAUAGAGCCAUUAAUAUCCAUAAAAUUUAAACAAAUUCUCACAUCCGUAGGGCCCUCUCCACCAUGAAACAUUUUAAACUAAAUGUGGACAUUUUUUCGGUUUUAACUAAUUCAUUUUUUAAUAUAAAUAUGGAACUUCAAUAGCAUAUUAUUCAAGCUUCUGCUCAAGGGGCCAUAAGUGAUAAACAAUAAGAAGCCCCACAACUUCAAAUAAGGUUUUCUUCUUUCUUGCUUUCUUUUCUUCAGGGGGAAAGAAAGAGAGAAGAAGAUACUUUUUUUGAAACAAAAAAAAGUUGUUUAAAAAUGGCGAAUAAUGCUAUUAUUGGUAUUUGUGCGGUGUUCUUGGUGGCCUUGGUGGUAGCCGUGGUGGUGGGUGUUACGCACAUAAAAAAUAAGAGCGAUGGUGAAGAGAUAUCGAGUUCGAACAAAGCUGUGCAAGCCCUAUGUCAACCCACGAAUUAUAAAGAGACGUGCCAGAAAAGCUUGGCGUCAUCAAAUUCUAGCGACGUUAAGGAGCUGAUAAGGACAGGUUUCCAAGCCGGGCUAGUCGAGAUAAAGAACGUGUUAGCCCAUUCAGUGACGGUCCAAGAGUUGAUCAAGGAUGAGAACAACAAAGCGGCACUUGGUGUCUGCCAAGAGGUGUUGGACUUAGCCAUUGAUGACUUUCAAAAGUCAUUCGACAUGCUAGGGGAAUACGACAUGAGCAAGAUCGGAAAAUACCUUUUGGAACUGAAGACCUGGCUAAGCGGUGCAUUCACGAGUCAACAAACAUGUAUAGACUCAUUCGCGGAAUCAAGUAACGAAUCAUCGCAGAAGAUGCAAUCAAUCUUGAAGACUAGCAUGGAGAUUACUAGCAAUGCUUUAGCCAUGCUUAAUGGGUUAUCCACCAUCGUGAAGGAACUUAACAUUCCAAACGUCGGCAACAUCGACACCACGGGGGUCAACCGUAAGCUUUUGUCGGCUGAGGAUAUGCCUGAGUGGAUUAGUCAAGCUGACCGAAAACUCCUUCAAGCAAAACCAAUGGAUUUGAAACCUAACGUUGUGGUUGCUAAAGAUGGUAGCGGGAAAUAUGAUACUAUUAAUAAGGCAUUGGCUGAAGUCCCCGUGAAAAGUCCCGAUCGAUUUGUUAUUCACAUUAAGGCUGGUACUUACAAGGAGCAAAUCAACGUGACCAAGCAGAUGACAAAUGUUGUAUUCGUUGGUGAUGGCCCAACCAAGACCAUUAUUACAAAUGACAUUAGCGUCGCUAAGAAUCCACCGGUUAAAACAUACCGCACUGCAACUGUUGGUAAGUAGUAUUAUAUACAUAUAGAAGUUUUGGUGGUGAAGUGUGGUGGCUAACUAGUAUAUAUGUAUGUAUGUUUGUGAAAUAUUUUAGCUGCGGAUGGGGCUGGUUUCAUGGCCAAGGACAUUGGAUUCGAUAACUCAGCAGGACCCGAAGGUCAUCAAGCAGUGGCCUUUAGGGCCACUGCUGAUAGGGUCAUCAUGUUCAACUGCCAUUUCACUGGGUACCAAGACACUCUCUACGCUCACAGAGAGAGACAGUUAUAUAGCAAUUGUCUCAUCACCGGAACGGUAGAUUUCAUCUUCGGGGAUGCGGCGAGCAUUUUCCAGAACUGUAUGCUCGUCGUGAGGAAGCCAGGGCCAGGCCAAAACUGCAUGGUUACAGCACAAGGAAGGAAUGAUCUUGGAACAAACUCAGCCAUUGUGCUUCAAAACUGCACCAUCUCGGGCGCCCCUGAUUACAUCCCAGUGAAAGAUACGAACAAGGCGUACUUGGGGCGUCCUUGGAAACAAUUCGCUAGGUCCAUCAUAAUGCAAUCUAGGAUCGACGACAUCAUUCAACCAGAGGGUUAUGCCCCCAUGACAGGCACCAUAGGAAUAGACACUUCUUUCAUUGCUGAGUUUGGAAACAGGGGACCCGGUGCCGAUACCAGCCGUAGGGUAGCAUGGAAAGGUAUCAAAAAGAUAGAUAUAAAUGAAGCCAACAAAUGGACUCCUCGCGUCUUUCUCGAAUCUGAGACUUGGAUUCCGAGUUCCGGCAUUCCCUAUAGUCCCGACAUGGUCCCUGGAGUUUAAGCAGCUUAUUAUCAAUACCAACGCCAUUAGUAUGCUUAUUAUCAUAUCAUUGUUCUAAUUAUGUCAUUGUUUACUAAUUAAUUAAACAGUUUUUUUAAUCUUUUAUCUAUCUAUAUAUAUAUGUUGAAUUCUUUGGUUUCCUGAUUGUUGUUUCCAUUCACUUAUUAAUGAUGUUUCCAAAACCCAAAAAUUAAGUCAACGUUUAAAUAGACCUGUCCAUGGGCCGGGCGGCCCGGCCCGGCCCGACGGCCCGCCCGAAAUAUGGGAGGGUUCGGGUAAAAAUAUAGGCCCGAAAUAUGGGCUUGGGCAAAAAAACGAGGCCCGUUUAAAAAAUGGGCCGGGCUCAGGCUCAACUUUUUUGGCCCGGGCCCGGCCCGAAUAUAAUAAAUAUAUAUUUUUUAUUUUUAUUUUUUAAUUUUUAAUUUUUAAUUUUUAAUUUUUAAUUUUUAAUUUUUAAUUUUUAAUUUUUAAAUACUUUUAAAAAAACUUUUUUUAUUUUUUUAUUUUUAAAAUAUUUUUUUGUGUUUAUUAAAAAUCGGGCCGGGCUCGGGCUUAUUAUUUUUUUCCCGGGCCGGGCCUGGGUAAAAUUUUAGGCCCAUAUUUCGAGCCGGCCCGGGCCCGGGCCUAAGAGUCGGGCCGAAAUUUUUUCUGGGCCCGGCCCGGCCCAUGGACAGGUCUACGUUUAAAUAUUAUUGAACUUAAUUUAAUAUAAUUUUUUAAGGAUUAUUUGGAUUGAUAAUGUUGUUUCCCUAAUGUAGACAGCUUACUUUAAAUAGAUUUAAUAAAAUUAUUAUUAUCAAACUUAAUUACAAGAUUUAAUAAAAAAAUAGUUUAUUAAGUAACAAUUACUAAUAUAAUAUUAAAAAUUAAUAAAAAAUAUAUUAUAAAAAAUCAAUCUUAUUUUUAUAUAUAUUUUUUAUAUAUGGACUUAAGCAAGCAUCCCGCUCAUGAAAUCAUAGAUUUGAUCAAGCGGUCAAGAUUUUUGAAUUUGAGCAAAACAUAGAAAAACAUUGUGUUUAUAAAUAUUUAGGGGAUGAAAGGGUGGUCAUUCUCGUUCUAUAUGUCGGGUGAAAUUCUAAUAGUUAAGAAUGAUGUAGGGAUAUUGUUAUCGUUUAAACUAUGGUUAACCCAACAGUUUAGGGUGAAGGACUUGGGAGAAGCUUAUUUUGUUCUGGGCAUUUGAAUCCUAAUGGAUCGAAUGAACAAAGUGAUAGCACUAUCGCAAGAUUCAUACAUAGACAAGAUGUAACAACUCGUUUUUCAAUGGUAUCGAAAAUAGUGGUUUUGGGGCCACAAAUCUGAUGAUUAAGUUUGUAAAUAUUAUUAUUUAAUAUUUACGAGUCAAAUAAAGUUUUAAAAAGGUUUUCGAUUUGGUAAUUUAUGUUAUAUAAAUGAUAAAUUAAGUUGAAGUUGUAAGACCCUAAAGUCAAGUGGUUUUAGAAAAUGAGGUAUCGGUAACUCGUUUCUAUAUAUCGAGUCAUAAACAUUUUUAUAAAUAUUUACGGAGUGUUAUUAAGGUUCUAUUAAAGUUUCAUUAAGAAAUUUUAAUGUUUAAAAGGUUAAUUAGGUGAAAAGGUCUAAAUUGAAAAAUGUGCAAAAGUUGAAUGCUAUUACUUAAAUGGAUCUAAAAUAUAUGGAAAGGUAAAUUCUUGGACUUGGAUGGUAAUUAUACCAUAUUUAAUGUGAGUGGAUAUUCAUAGGAAGGUUGCAUGGUAAAUCUUGUAAAUUUUAAAGGUUAUAAUAGUAAUUAAUUAAUAUAAACUAAAAUAACUUAACCUAAAAUUAUCAUCCUCUUCCUUCUUUAAUUUCUUUAACCGAAUGUCUAUGGUGGGUGAAGGAAAACCAUUCGGCCAAUUUAUUUUGGGGUGCUUGGCAAGCUAUUUUCACCUAUUUCUCUUAAUUUUUAUGUUUUUGAGAUCGUUGAAACUAGGUCUAGCUAGCUCGUACAUUCGAUUUUGAAAUUGUUAAAGGUAUUGAAUUUUUCCAUUGAUGAAUAUUGUGAAUUUAGAUAUUAAAUGAUAAAUUUGAAGUGUUGUUUAGUAUUUAAAAGUAUUUUGUUAAAUGAUUUUUGAGGAAUUUCCCGAUUAGGGACUAAAUUGUUAAAAUAAUAAAAUAUAAGGAUUUGAUGUGAAAAUUUUAUAAAUAUGGGCUGUAUUGGGAGCUAUAAACACUCGUCUAAGAUCAAAUUUGGGUAAAAAUGGUUAAUCUACAUGUUUUAGGCUCAGGGACUAAAUUGAAUAAAAAUAACAUGUUAGGGACAAUUUUGUAAAAGUGUCAAAAAUGACUAAAUUGCAUACAAUAAUUUUUUUUACUAAUCUAUAGUAGUAAAUUGAAUGAAAUUAUUAAUUUAGAUCAAGAUCGAGUGGAAAAUCGAGGAGAAUAGAAAAUUACCAAAAUGCACAUAUACUUUGACAUUUCUGCAAUUUAGCUAUGUUAGUUUGUACGGUUAGCAUUUAACAUUAAUAUGAAUUGUUGAGUAGAUUAACAUGGUACAACUUAUAUAUUUAUUUUUAAUUGUUGAUAAUUAAUGGUAGUUUGAGAUAUAAUAUUAAAUUUGAUGCUCGGUUUGGAUUGAAUGCGGGAUAGAGUACAAUCGUGAUUUUGUGUGUUUUAUGUAACACCCCCUAACCCUAAACCGUCGCCGGAAUAAGGUUACGAGGCAUUACCAGACAUGUCAAACAAUUUACAAAUAAUUCUUAAAUAAAUAACCAACAUAUUAAAAUAAUUCAUAAAUACACAUAAAUUUCACUAAUUGAUUCCAUUCAUUUUUUUUCUUUUAUAAAAAUUUCGGUAGCAUUUCUACUUAUUUUUACAUAAAACCCCCUGCAAAAUUUCAAAACAUAACCAACCCAAUUCUAGUAUUUCAAUCAAGUCAUUUAUAUACUUAAAUCUUACUUGACAUAUUGACGUAACAACUUAAUUAAUAAAAAUCCUACUAUCAUUUCUAAUUAACUCAUAAAACUAAUCAAGUCAUUUCAAUUCGAUACCAAUGCCAUAAAUGACUUCUACCAUUUUACUAAUAUAAUCAUCAAAACACAUUAUAUCUUACUUUACAACAAAACUAUAUAACAUACCAAAAUAACUAUUAUAAUUCUUAUGUACAUGCCACUUUCAUUUAAGGAAGAAAACAUCACUGAAAACUCUAUGCAGGAGUCGGGAUUGUCCUGGAUGCUGAACCGAGACUCUGACCCCUUUUCAACCUACGCAUGGAAACAACCGUACGCUGAGUAUUUUAUACUCAGUGGUAUUACCAUAAUUCAAAUUAUAAUAACAAUAAAGAAUUAUAAUUACGAAGCAUGUAACUAUCCGAUUUCUUAAUAUCAAUUAAUUCAUAAACUUUCAUUAUUUAACAAUAACAAUACAAUUUUUUAGCUAUCUUCAAUCUCAAUCACAUAUCACAUGUAGCAAUUUCAAUCACUACAUAAACAUUAAAUUCAUGCCUUUUAUUUUCAAUAUCAAUUUCAAUCUACAAAUUUUUAAUUUUCUCAUAUUCAAUACCACAAUCGAUCAAAUUCAUUUGAUUUUCUCAUUUCAAUUAUUCACCCUAUUAACAAUCUGGACUUUGACAGAUACACGGAUUCCAACCCAAACACACCAAUACGGCACAUUGUGCCUCAAACGGUACAUAGUACCUGAUUAGUAUACGACACAUAAGUGCCUGAAACGACACACGAGGUGCCUGAUACGACACAUAAAGUGCCUGAGAUACGACACAUAAAGUGCCUGGUGUACGACACAUAAAGUGCCUGAUCGGCAAAGCCGAUAAAUCCCGUACUCUUCCAAAUCCUAUGGCAUGCCAACUAUAUCUGACUUAGCCCGACUAGUUAAUAGGGUAUUCAAAUUCUCAAUUCUCUUUCAUUAUCAAUUCAAGAUCACUUUUCCACUUUUUAAUCAAUUAACAAUUUAAUACCAAUACAUAUUUCAAAUAAUCACAUAUAAUCAUAUUUCAAUUCAAUUCAAACCACUUUUCAAUCAUUACACAAUUCACAUAUUCACACAUAUUCAUAAAUUAAUUCACUUUAUUUAAUUCAUAUUUUAAAUUCAUUUUUCAAUCAAAUUCAAAUCACUAAUUACUUUUUAAUCAAUAUACAUUUCAAAUACUCACAUAUUUCCUUCAUUCAAUUUAAUUUGAUUCAAUUCAAAUCACUAUUAUCAUUUCAAUUGCUUACCCAAUUUUACUUACCAUGCAUUUUAAUUAAAAUAUAACAAUUAAUAAUAAAUAGAUUUGAAUUAUAGUAAUACAAACCCGAAUUUGCUCGAUUAUUCCUCAACGACCUUCUGCUUCCCUUUUUGUGCCGAUACCUCAAAUUCUUUACUAGCUAUGAAAAUUAAAUAAUUAAAUAAUUAAUUACAGCACAAAUUUUACAAUAAAAAUAAAAUUUCUAUCAAAUUUUAUACUUUAAUUCCAAUUUAAUCCUAACUAGAUUUAUCUACUUUUCUAAUUUAAUUCACACUCUAUUUCUAUUCAAAUUUCUUCUAAACUCAAAUUUAUCUACUAAUUUUUCAGCAUUUUUCACUAAUUUCGAAUUUUCCUCAAUUUAAUCCCUAAAAUUCAAAACUUAUAGUUUAGUUUACAAUUCAAUCCUUUAUUCAAUUCCAAAUAAAAUUUCUAUCAAAUAAAUCCUCAAUUCCAUCAUUUAUUCAACAUAAACCCUACUCAAAAAUCUAUUAACUUUCAAAUUUUCAACUUAAAUCCAAGAUUAUUUCACUCUAGGAUUCCAAAAACAUCAAAUUUAUGAGAAAAUAACUUGAUUUAGCUUACCUAUUAAACUUCAAGCUUCAAAAUCUCAAUUUUCCCCCUUUCUUUUCUUUCCCUUUUUCUUCCCCUGUUUUCGACUCUUUCUCUGUUUCUUUUCUGUUCUUCUUCUCUUUUUCUAUUCUUUUAUUUCAUUUGUUUUCUUUUACUUUUUUGUUAUAAUAAUAUAAUAUAUAAUAAUUAAUAUAAAUAUCUUUUACCACACAUGUCAUAUUCAUAACUAUACAUUUGUCCUAAUCUUAUUUAUCUCACAAUAUAAUAAUAAUAAUAAUUUAAUAAUAUAUUUUAACACAUAAAAAUCUUAAAUUUUUAUGCUUAUGCCGCCUCAAAUUUGGCAAUUGGCAUAAUUGCCUAUUUAAUCCCAUUUAUUGUAUUUUAAUCUAUAAUUAAACUUUCACUUUUAUUGUAAUUUAAUCCUUUUUACUAAUUACUCUUAAUUAGACUAAAUUCACCUAAUUAAUACCUAAUUAAGCACUAAACUAAACUCAUAAUUACUUCUAAUAAUUAUUUUCAAACUCAAUUUACUAAGACGGAGGCCCGAUAUUAUAUUUUUUCGAUGCCCGUGAAUUUUUGGGUCAUUACAUUUUAAGGGUAUAGAGUGGAGAUGAUAUUGGAGGGAGAUGUCUGUAUAUUACCUGAGUAAAUUGAGGUUCAACAUUUGUUGUGAACUCUCGUGUUAUACUCUAUGUCUGGUGUGUUUCGGUUGGAUUAGCUCUUAUGAGCUUCUGUCCGGCGUGUUUCAGUUGGAUUAGCUCUUAUGAGCUUAUGUCUGGUGUGUUCGGUUGAUUUGAUGAUGCACUCUUAUCCGUAAUUCGUUCUUCAAAUGAAAAAUCUCGGUAAGGUAAUCUGUUUAAUGAAUUUGAAAAAUUUAUUAUUUAUUGAAUAUUAAUCUAAACAUAGAUGAAUUCAUCGGUUGAAAUUGUAGAUGAAAGGGAAUUCUCAUGGUUGAUUAUUAUUGUUUGAAUUGUUGUAUUUGCUUCGGUAAGAUUUAUCGUUUAAUGUGUCGAACUUACUAAGCUUCAUUAAGCUUACUUGUGUUGUUUAAUGUCAUUAUAGAUUCUCGAAAGGUUGGACGAUCGGAUCGGCACUCAAGUCACUCUAUCCAGCUCAAUUUGAUAGUUUUUGGAACGUUUAAUUUAUAUUAUAUGGCAUGUAUAGGCUCUUGUGUUAUUAUCGUUAAUGUUUUGGUUUAUAUAAAAACUAUGGAUGAUUUUUUGUUUAAAUGGUCAACUUAUAUAAUAUAUGAGAAUGAGGUAUAGUUUCUAUGAUAAUGUGAAUGAUAUGUAUGAAAGAAAUGUUAUGAUUGAGAUACCUUUGAUAGGUAUUUCAGAUAAAUAUUGCUUGAAUGAAUUAAUAAGUUGAAUUGAUAAUUAUUUUGAUGUAUAAUUAUAUAUACUUGUGGCACCAAUGAGAGUACAUUAGUUAGGCACUUAAUAGGUUGGUUUUGGUGUGUUUUUGGCUCGAUUAAAGUCAUUUUGAUUUGGUAUUUUGAUUGGUAUUUGAGUUUCUUAAGGUCCAAGCAAACUUGAAAUGGUAAUAUUGUGUUUUAAGGUUCAUUUUGGGUCCACACGGCCUGAAAUGGUAUUUGACUUCCAAACGUGUCGAGAUUCGAGGAAAUCAAUAGCAGGUUGUGUUGUUGUCCUAGGUGAUCUACUGUAAUUUGAUACGUCAAAUUAAACCCUCAAAUGCACUUAAGGAGCUUAUCUUUAAACAAUUUUAGUGUCUUUUAUAUGUUUUUUUAUUUUUAAUUUUAUUUUUAAUAAAUUUUUUAUUAGUUUCAAGUCAUUUCUGAUACCCAAAUUGGCCAAUUGUGGCAUGGGAAACCUAACAAGUUGAUUAAGUGAUGUAGGGAGUCGGCGGUGGCCUGAACAGGAAGAAAAUAUCACCUACAAGUGGGUAUCACGAUAUCGAAGUAUGGAACGAUAUCGAAGUAUGGAAGUGUAAUACCCUUGAAAAAACUGAAAUGAAAAAAAUCGGGGCCGACUACUGUGACAUGAUGUCGAAAUCAUUUUUAAAUUUAGAAAAAAAUGGGGAUCGACUUUUAAAAUGAAAACCGGGAGUCGCCACCGAUCUUUUAUUGAGGUGUGAUUGGAUCACCUUGGAAAUAAUUUUAGGUCUGCGAAUUUUGAGAAAACAGGUUCGGGAGUCGGUUACGCAUUAGGAAGGGUUAGCACCCUCGUGACGCCCAAAAUUGGUACUGAAUUGAUUGUUUAAUGUCUUAAUGUCAAAAUUUGAAAAGAUUUUAAAAUACGAUCCUUUUAACUUGAAUAAAUUGAAUAAUAAAACACUCUUAUUUCAAAGAAAUAGAAUGUCACACCCAGUGAGUUAAGGCGCAACAUUUUUAAUCUUCCAAAAUUAAGUUUAUCUUUUAACUUUUAAAACCCAUGCAUGUUGAGAAGAAUAUUUGGUCAUUUGGGUCAAAUGAAAAAAUCAAAAUCCAGUAAGUUAGGGUUCAAUUUCCCAAAAUUCCUAAAUACCUCAUAUUGCCUUUAUUUUUAGAAGAAUCCUCGUCUCGAGAAAAUAACAUGUCAUAUCCAAUGCAUUAGGACACAACGUAUCGAAUUCCCGAGAAUGAGCUUUUAUUUAUGUGUUUUGAUUAAAGAAAAUUUGAUUAUUUAGAUUCAACGAGAAAAAUUAAAACCCAAUACGUUAGGGCUCAAUUCUCUCGAGGAUUCCAAAUAUCGGGUAUUGCCUUUAUUUUCAAAAUUCCUUUUUAUACAUUGCGUAGAAAGGUCAAAUAUGUUUAAACAUCAUGUAUGGUACAAUGAUAAUGAAAUGGUGUGAAAUGGCUAUGUGGGUAGAAUAAUACAUAAAGGAAUGUUAUAAUAUUUGCAAUGAAACUAUAAUAAUAAUGCACCAACUAAUAAUAGCAAUAAUCAUAUUAAUUACUAUAGCAUGAAAAUACGAAUAAAUGAAAUAAUACACAUAAUGACAAUACUUACACCACACAUCAAAUACAAAUACUAAUAAUCAAAGCAAACAAAACGAAUAAUAUAUAUAAGUCAAUUUAAAGAAAAUAAUAGCUCAAAAUGAAUGAUUUGUGCUGGCAUUUCAAAAUAAAUAAUAACGAUUCAAAUAAGUAGAACAUAUAUAUAAAAAAAUUAGACAAUAAAUAAAUAACAAUGGAAACAAUUAAAAAAUAUAUUUAAAAAGAACAUAUAUUUUGAAAAAAAUACAUAUAUACGUACAGAAGAAAAAAAAUUUGAAAAAUGUUCAUACAUAAGUUUAUAAGAAAUAAUAUGUAUAAAAAAAUAAAUUUAAUGUAAAACAACUUCAAAUAAAUAAUAAAUAUAAAAACUUAAAAUAAGUAACGAUAAAAGAACAUUUUCUACAAAUAAAUGAAUUAAAUAAACCGAGGAUGAGGUGGAAACAGAAUUAAAAUUCGAGGCUUUAAUUGCAAAAUCGCAAACAGUUCGCAAGGGGACUGAAAUAAGAUGCGCUGAUGACAUGAGGGACUGACUGUGCAAUAUCCCCGUCCCUUAUGCACAUCGUUUUGCGCAGGACAAGAUUGGAACAGGCGCAAAGUUCUAUGGCUGAAAUUAAGUAAAAUAAAAAGGCUGCAUCGAAUGUGCCCCAGAAUUGGAAGGACUAAUUUCGCAAAAUACCCAUUAGGGUAAUAAUGCGCAGCCCUCCAAGCCUUCAAACGGCACCGUUUUAAUAAUCAAUAUAAAAAGAAAAAAAAACCUAGACUAAGCCCGAAACAGAACCCUAGCAAUCCCUUCUCAUUUCUGCGCCGUUCUGCUACGUCCAUAGGCCAAUGGUUUUCCGAAUCCCCUUUGCGCGACUCCGAUUGCGACGGAGCGAAGGACACCGGUCACCAGGUACGUUUCUCACUCUGAACUUUCUUCUUUAUUUGUUUACCCUAGCAAUGAACUAAAGAAUCAAAGAAAAAAAGAGAAAAACGAAGAGAAAAUUCAAAAAAACUUACGAAGCUUAGUUUUCUUUUAAUGUUUUUUCUUGUUUCUGUAUUCAAUCUCUGUAUGCGUAAAAAAGGGAAAAGAGACCCCCUUUAAGUACAUCUUUGGGUUUUUUAUAACCCGAAAACAAAAAGAAAAGAAAACGAAUACAAAUUCUUUUUUUGUUUUUCUUUUUCUCUGCCUUUCUUUUGCUGUUUGUUUGUUCCAUUUUGCUGUCGAUUUGUUGUUUGCUGCAGGUACGGUCGUACGAGGGGGCAAUGGCAUCGCGUACGGAAGCAGAGGCUGACGUGGAGCUGCUCGGAGGCUAAACCUGCUGGCUGCGGCGCUAAAAGUCUCAGAAACCCUAGGGUUUUUGUUUGUUCCAGUUUUGGGCCAAGGGUAUUUAGUUGGUUUGGGCUUGUAAGGCGAUUAGGCUGGGGUGUAUUUGGUCUGUAUGAUUUUAGGCUUGUAUUUUGGGCUUGCUGGACUGAUGGACUUUUAAUAACCUUGUUAUUAUUAUUAUUUUUAUUAUUUAUUUUUUUAUAUAAUUUGUUUAUUUAUUUGAUUUGGGCCGGGCAAAAUUAGGGUAUUACACAUGAUAUUCAAGUUUGUUGGGGGUAUCACCAUCCAUUCCAAGAUUGUUGGGGGUAUCAUGAUAUUCAAGUUUGGUUAUCACAAUAUCGCUGCCUAAAGGGUGAAAAAACUGAAAGGCAAUUUUAUGUCCAACAAACUUAAGUCUAUUUUUCACUUAAUGGUAAAAUAGUCAAUGCUAGGUUAAAUAGUAAUAGGCUAUAAAUACAACUUUAUAAGCCUUUCAUUUUAAAUUUUACUAUUAUCUUUACCCGUUAGUUAAAAAAUGAGUUACUUGUCUAAUGGUUAAGUGUUAGUGAAAUUGUCUUUGAAACCCAAGUCUGAAUCUCCUCCCUCGCAUAAUUUUUAUAUGUUGUAUUUUUUCCCAAAAACCCUAGGUGUUGUCGUCCCAUGUUGUAACCCUAGGUACAUAUUGUAUUUUUUUCUUUUCUUUUCAGCCUCAUUUGCUCACCCUCUCUACGUCCCACCUUCUCUCUUCCUCUCAUUUCUUCAAUAAUUCUUUUCUCUUAUCUCUUUUAUUGCCUCCCCUUGAAACCUCAUGUUUUCUCUUUCAUUGACGUCGCCCUAGUGAUCAGCCACCACUACUGUUGCCCCUUUUGUUUCUCCUCUCCUUCUUUCAUUUUCUCUCAUUCUUUUGUUGACGAAACCACCAUUCAUCUUUGGUCAGAUCUUUUUUGGCCCUUUGCAAGUGAUCAAUCCGUUUUGUGAUUAUUUGUUAUCAAAGGUCUGAGAUCCGCGAAGUGUAAGUUGUUUAUUAGUCAAAUUUAAAUACAUAUUUCUUUUCUAUAAUGGUCAAAUCUAUCAAGAGUCCAUGGCUAAUUCUCACAUGUGUUCUUUUUGUGUUUUUUUAUUGAAGGUUCAUAUUCAAAUCACUCAGAUCAAUGGUGACAUCAAACAUUAUUCGCGUCUUCGUCUUAAGUUGAAAUAGUACUAGUGUAUGUGGUGAUUCCAAAAAUCAUAUAUGAAUUGCCAUUGUUUUCUCUGAUUUGGCCGAACCCUAUAAGGUGAUUAGAGGCUAAUUUCUAACAAUUACUUCCUUGUGUUAGGUACAAAUUAAACCAGAUUUAAUCAGAUCUGAAGCAUAGGAGCUGCAGACUAGUGUUAGUGCUUCAGAUAUGCAUUAUUCAGGUAUGGGUCCUAACUUUGUAUGGUUGGUGAUUGUUGAAAUCAUGUUUGUACUUUAUUGGCAUUGGUCGAAUGUUAUAGGGCCUUAAAGUGUAAAUAACCAAGUGUGUAAGUGUUAUAAGUGUUAACUGAUUGUAUGCCUAUUGUUACUGGUUGAUUAGCUGAAUGCAUGUUAUUACAUGUACUGUAUUGUUAAGCAUGUUGAUUGUUAAUGUAUAAAUGGAUUGCGAAUAUAGCAUGCCAUUGAUUGAUACAUUGUUUAUUGCUUGCAUUUAAAAAAAAAAACAUGUCACUGAUUGAUAUUAUUUUAUCGAAUUGAAAUUGUUACACAUGCCAUUGUUAUUGCAAUUGUUAUUGAAAAGCAUUGCCAUAAUGCAUUGCAUGGGGACUUGGAUUGAUUGGAGAUGGAGGAGAUCCAUGGAGUACGGACAGUUUAUCUGUCAUAUUAUACUGGCAAUUAAUCUACAACCCUGAAGUCAUGUUCGGAGUACUGACGGUUUAUCCGAAAAUUACUAGUAGUUUAUCCACAAAUUAUUGGCAAUCAAUUGAAAAAAUUGUCAAUGGUGGUUUAUCCACAUUGAGCUAAGACUCUUACUGUUUUAGUGUUCGAAUGUUGAGCUUUGGGGAACUCAUAGUGUGUAGCAGAUGGAUGGGUAGGAAAUAUACAUUGUUUUCAUAUGAGCAUGUACAUAUAUAUAUAUUAUAUUUUUAUGAUGUCAUGCUAUACUAUGAUCUAAGAAAUGUUGCUGGCUAUAUGCUUUACUAUAGUUUGAACGUCUGCAUGUAUAUACAAUGUUUACUAAGUUUAAGACUUGCGUUGAGCUUUUUACAGCUCACCCCCAUAAUUUUAUCUAAACUUUGAGGUUAGGAUCGGACACGAUAUUCAGAGGUUUCAUCUCAAUUUUAUUUAAUAAAGCAAUUUAAAUUUUACUUUAUUCUGUUAUGGUUUUUGGGACUGUAAUUUUGUUAAUUUUGGGUUGUGGCAUGGGUUCUUUUUAAGUUUGAAUUUCCACAUGCAUCCAAUUCAUUAAACUGAACAGACCCAACAAAUUUGCUUAACAUCAUAUUAAAUAAGGUUUAAAGUAAAAACUGAUGGUUCCAAUUUUUCCAAUACGAAACAAGGAAAAGAGUUUUGAAAAGCAAAUCAACAAAACAAAAAUCAAUUAAGUUUACCCUAAAAUGUCACAACACAUACUAAAUUUGGAGCCUUAAUAUUAACUUGACUUAAAAUCUGAUGUUUUUAAUAAAUAUAUGUCAACCAAUCUAAUUUUUCUAAAAAUUGAAAAAAUAAAUGUUACGAGAACUAAACGAUUCUACUAGGCCAUUUCGGUGGCCAAUGUAACCUUCAAGAUCCGAUCAUAAUGUUUGAACCAGAUUAGGGAGGAUACCGUUAUGGUUGAAAAUUUCAAGCAAUUGGAAAAAUAAAUAUUACUAUUGACAAGCAAGUGUUGUCGAAUGUGAGAGAAUAUCUUAAAUUUUGGGGUGGUGAUGGCAAAAAGUCAAAUAUUGAAGCUGACAUGAAAGGGGUGACGUUGCUUAGUAUUGAUAACAUCGGUGAAAAUGAGACAGAUGAAGCGGAAGUAAGUAACCGGGGCAAAGAAGGUGAGUGUAGGCAAAUCCAAUUUAGAGGUGGAUCGAACACUAGUGUUGGGCCAUUCAGAUGGGAAUCAAGGUUCCGUUGAAACAACUGAGGUGAUGGGUAGAGAUGAUAUGACUGCAGGAAAGGAAUUGGUUGAAGUUACGAAGAGGAUAUUGUAAAUGAGUAUAUAGCCAAAGGAGGCAACAAAGUUAAGAAAAUUGAGAAAGAAGAAACUAACGGCUAGUGGUGAACACAUUCUGACUUCAAAAACAAGAACGCGUUGAAGUUGGGUAAGAUUAUGGGAUUACAAGUUGGUGGAGAUAAGGAUGAAGUUUUGAGACAUUUGGUAGCAAUUAGACUUAGCUCAGUUCAAGGAAUGUUGAAGUUUGAUUUUGUUUUUUUUGUUUUUUUUUUUUGUGUACCAGUCAGUACCCUCAAACUUUCUUCUCUAAAACUCUCCUAAUGUUUCCCAUGAAUCCCCGGCGCUAGCAUGCAAACUAUCUUAUGUUUCUCCAAAAUAAGAGAUACUCUCUCGAUUUUGCUCUUGGGGUUCAUUGCAAAAGUCUGACAGACAGAUGAAACCGUGGUGUUUGAAACUUCUCCCCAUCUCAAGGCUCUAUACGACUUCUACAUCUGGGCUUUUUAAACAUUGAUAAUAGUAUCUUACAUGCUAAGUCUGGAAAGAAACAAAGAACUCUUUUGGAUCGUUUAUUUCAAUUUUUCUCAUAUGUCUCGUUUCUCUUUGUCCCUAGGGGUGUGCAUAAUUCGGGUAAAAUCGAAAAAUUCGGUUAACCGAUCGAAUUCGGUUAAUCGGUCAGUUAACAGAAUUUUUUCGGUCGGGGGUCAGUUAAUUUUUUUAUGAUUUUUCUGUUAACGAUUAAUUCGGUUCGAAACCGGUCGGUUAACUGAAUUUUUUCGGUUAACCGAAAAAAUUAAUAAAUAAAAUUAUCCAACCCAACCCAAUUACCGAACCCAAUAAAACUAAAACUAAAGUCUACCCAAUUACCAACCCAAUAAAAAUAAAACUAAAGUCUGACUCUUAAGUAUCUACCCAAUUACACAUGUUUUUUUUUUUUUAGGUUUAAUGCAAAUGGAGAUUUUUUGGAGAGAAGAAAUAGAUAUAAAUAGAAAAUAUUAAAGACUUACAUUUCAACUAUGUGUUAAUUUUAAGAAUUAUAUAAUAUUUUUAAUUAUGUAGUGAUUCAAAGACUAAUUAUGUAAUAUUUUUAAUUAUGUAGUGAUUCAAUUCGGGUAAUUCGGUUAAUUCAGUUAAUUUUUAUUCAAAAAUAAAAACCAUACAAUUUUCGGUUAAUUCGGUUAACCGACCUAAUUAACCGAAAAAAUUUCGGUUUGAUUAAUUUUUUUUUUUAAAUUCGGUUCGGUUAACGGUUAAAAAUUUUGGAAGAUCGAUUAAUUCGGUUAUAGCUAUUUCGGAUCGGUUAACCGAAUGCACACCCCUAUUUUUCCCAAGUUCCAUUAUUAUCAUCCCAAAUCUUCAGUAUGAUAGAAAAAAACUAUUAAAUUCAGGUGAAAGUAAUGGAGAGCAAAUACAUAAAAAUAUUAAAAAUUUGAUAAGAAAUAUUAAAUAUAAAAACUAGAAUUUAAUAAUAUGAAGUUAUUUGAAUUAAAUAUAUGUAAUAUUAUUGUACCGCGUAAUUUUACAUGAUAAUAUUAGGCACUUACCCCUGUUUUAUUUAAAUUUCAUUUAUAAAAUGCUUUAUUGACUCAUUUCAUAUCAUGGACUAAAGAAGUUAAAUUCAAAAUUAGCAGAAUAUACCCUUUUUUCAAAACGAAAUACAAAGAAAAUUACCAUGAAACUGUUUGAAUCAUCUCUCAGUUGCUCAACGAAUUACUUCUUUGGAAUGUUAAAAAAAAUUACUUAUUUUUCUUUUUCUAUUAAUUUAAUUAAUAUAUCAUAAUAAUUAUUAUUACAAUUGCUACUCAUGCACAGGUUUGCUUUCACUAUAAAGAAUGCAUAAUAAUAGUCAAAAUUUAAACAUAUUAGAUAAAAAUAAAUAAAUAAUAAUGCAUUUUAUAAAAUUAUUUUUUAAAAUUAUUUUUAAAUCAUUUUAAAAAUAAUAUUUUAAUUAAAACUUAAAUUUGAAAAAAAAAGAAUGCCACAAAAAAUGAAUAUAUACAUUAUUAUAUUUAUUAUUUAUGAUAUGAUAUGAUUUCUUACAAAUGUUUCUAACAACAUUAGUUACCAUUUAAUCCACAAAGCUUUAAUUUACAAGUGUCAAAGAAAAAUCCUAAAAUACGGAAAUUAAUUUUUUGUAGAAUGUGAAAAGAUUUUUAAAAAAACUAAUAUUUAAUUUACAAUUUAGCUUUUAAAUUACAUUUAUAUAUUAAUUGUUUCAAUACUAAAAAUAUUAGUUUAUCUAAAAAAUAUUUUACUCAACCACAUAUAUAUAUAAUUAUAUAAAUUACAUCCUAGCAUUAAUCAUUUUUUUAACAAUUUCAAAGCUCGAGAUUUUAAAGGAAUAAUAAAAGGAAUAUUAAAACACCAUAAUUUUAAAGAGUGAUUAAUAUCCUUGAAAUUUAAACAAAUUCUCACAUCCGUAGGGCACUCUCCACCAUAAAACAUUUUAAACUAAAUAUGGUCAUUUUUUGGGUUUUAACUGAUUCAUUUUUUAAUAUAAAUAGAGAACUUCAAUAACAUAUUAUUCAAGCUUGUGCUCAAGGGGCCAUAAGUGAUAAGCAAUAAGCAACCCCACAACUUCAAAUAAGGUUUUCUUCUUUCUCGCUUUCUUUUCUUCAGGGGGAAAGAAAGAGAGAAGAAGAUACUUUUUUGAAAAAAAAAAAGUUGUUUAAGAAUGGCGAAUAAUGCUAUUAUUGGUAUUUGUGCGGUGUUUCUGGUGGCCUUGGUGGUAGCCGUGGUGGUGGGUGUUACGCACAUAAAAAACAAGAAUGAUGGUGAAGAGAUAUCGAGUUCGAACAAAGCCGUGCAAGCCCUAUGUCAACCCACGAAUUAUAAAGAGACGUGCCAGAAAAGCUUGGCGUCGUCAAAUUCUAGCGACGUUAAGGAGCUGAUAAGGACAGGUUUCCAAGCCGGGCUAGUUGAGAUAAAGAACGUGCUAGCCCAUUCAGUGACGGUCCAAGAGUUGAUCAAGGAUGAGAACAACAAAGCGGCACUUGGUGUUUGCCAAGAGGUGUUGGACUUAGCCAUUGAUGACUUUCAAAAGUCAUUCGACAUGCUAGGGGAAUACGACAUGAGCAAGAUCGGAAAAUACCUUUUGGAACUAAAGACCUGGCUAAGCGGUGCAUUCACGAGUCAACAGACAUGUAUAGACUCAUUCGCGGAAUCAAGUAACGAAUCAUCGCAGAAGAUGCAAUCAAUCUUGAAGACUAGCAUGGAGAUUACUAGCAAUGCUUUAGCGAUGCUUAAUGGGUUAUCCACCAUCGUG
rnacentral:lncRNA from 1 species